UACGUAGGUGGCGAGCGUUAUCCGGAAUGAUUGGGCGUAAAGGGUGCGUAGGCGGCCUGCUAAGUCUGGAGUGAAAGGUACCGGCUCAACCGGUACAGGCUCUGGAAACUGGCGGGCUAGAGAGCAGGAGAGGGCGGUGGAACUCCAUGUGUAGCGGUAAAAUGCGUAGAUAUAUGGAGGAACACCGGUGGCGAAAGCGGCUCUCUGGCCUGUAACUGACACUAAGGCUCGAAAGCGUGGGGAGCAAACAGG
rnacentral:rRNA from 1 species